rnacentral:rRNA from 1 species
AGAAUCAACGCUGGCGGCGUGCCUAACACAUGCAAGUCGAACGCGAAAGUGGAGCAAUCCAUGAGUAGAGUGGCAAACGGGUGAGUAACGCGUGGGCGACCUACCUUCGAGUGGGGGAUAACAUUCCGAAAGGAGUGCUAAUACCGCAUGACAUCCCGUGUUUGGAUACACGGACAUCAAAGCCGGGGAUCGCAAGACCUGGCGCUUGGGAGAGGGGCCCGCGUCCGAUUAGCUAGUGGUGAGGUACGGCUCACCAAGGCUUCGAUCGGUA